UACGUAGGGUGCAAGCGUUGUCCGGAAUUAUUGGGCGUAAAGAGCUCGUAGGCGGUUUGUCGCGUCCGUUGUGAAAGCUUGGGGCUCAACCCCAAAUCUGCAGUGGAUACGGGCAGACUAGAGUCAGGUAGGGGAGAACGGAAUUCCUGGUGUAGCGGUGAAAUGCGCAGAUAUCAGGAGGAACACCGGUGGCGAAGGCGGUUCUCUGGGCCUGUACUGACGCUGAGGAACGAAAGCGUGGGGAGCGAACAGG
rnacentral:rRNA from 1 species